rnacentral:misc_RNA from 1 species
GAUGAAGAACGUAGCGAAAUGCGAUAAGUAAUGUGAAUUGCAGAAUUCAGUGAAUCAUCGAAUCUUUGAACGCACAUUGCGCCCCCUGGUAUUCCGGGGGGCAUGCCUGUUCGAGCGUCAUUUCACCACUCAAGCCUCGCUUGGUAUUGGGCAUCGCGGUCCGCCGCGUGCCUCAAAUCGACCGGCUGGGUCUUCUGUCCCCUAAGCGUUGUGGAAACUAUUCGCUAAAGGGUGUUCGGGAGGCUACGCCGUAAAACAACCCCAUUUCUAAGGUUGACCUCGGAUCAGGUAGGGAUACCCGCUGAACUUAUGCAUAUCAAUAAGCGGAGGA